rnacentral:rRNA from 1 species
UACGUAGGGUGCAAGCGUUAAUCGGAAUUAUUGGGCGUAAAGAGCUCGUAGGCGGUUUGUUGCGUCGGCUGUGAAAUCCCGAGGCUCAACCUCGGGUCUGCAGUCGAUACGAGCAAACUAGAGUGUUGCAGGGGAGACUGGAAUUCCUGGUGUAGCGGUGAAAUGCGCAGAUAUCAGGAGGAACACCGGUGGCGAAGGCGGGUCUCUGGGCAACAACUGACGCUGAGGAGCGAAAGCGUGGGGAGCGAACAGG